GAUGAAGAACGUAGCGAAAUGCGAUAAGUAAUGUGAAUUGCAGAAUUCAGUGAAUCAUCGAAUCUUUGAACGCACCUUGCACCCUUUGGCAUUCCGAAGGGUAUGCUCGUUUGAGUGUCAUUGUACUCUCACACUUCCAAUCUUUGGAUUGGGAGCAGUGGACUUGGGUGUUGCUGCUUACUGUGGCUCACCUCAAAUCGAUUCGUGCACCUCUUGGUUGGACAUAGUACGGCGUGAUAAGUGUCUUCGCCGGCACCUCAGUAGAGGGUGGCUGAUCAGGAGCUCUGUGCUUCAAACCGUCCUCGGACAACAACUGACAACUUGACCUCAAAUCGAGUAGGACUACCCGCUGAACUUAAGCAUAUCAAUAAGCGGAGGA
rnacentral:misc_RNA from 1 species